UACGUAGGUGACGAGCGUUGUCCGGAUUUACUGGGCGUAAAGAGCGCGCAGGCGGUCGUUCAAGUCGCGUGUGAAAGCCCCCGGCUCAACUGGGGAGGGUCACGCGAUACUGAUCGACUCGAAGGCAGGAGAGGGAAGUGGAAUUCCCGGUGUAGUGGUGAAAUGCGUAGAUAUCGGGAGGAACACCAGUGGCGAAGGCGACUUCCUGGCCUGUUCUUGACGCUGAGGCGCGAAAGCUAGGGGAGCAAACGGG
rnacentral:rRNA from 1 species